rnacentral:rRNA from 1 species
AACGCGAAGAACCUUACCCGGUCUUGACAUGCACUGUGUCUCCGGUGAAAGCCGGAUAGUGUAGCAAUACACGCUCUGCACAGGUGCUGCAUGGCUGUCGUCAGCUCGUGUCGUGAGAUGUUGGGUUAAGUCCCGCAACGAGCGCAACCCUUAUCGUUAGUUGCCAACAGGUAAUGCUGGGAACUCUAGCGAGACUGCCUGGGUUAACCAGGAGGAAGGUGAGGAUGACGUCAAGUCCGCAUGGCCCUUAUGUCUGGGGCUACACACGUGCUACAAUGGUCGGUACAGAAGGCAGCGAAACCGCGAGGUGGAGCAAAUCCCAAAAGCCGACCCCAGUUCAGAUUGUAGUCUGCAACUCGACUACAUGAAGAUGGAAUUGCUAGUAAUGGCGAGUCAGCAACAUCGCCGUGAAUACGUUCCCGGGUCUUGUACACACCG